GUUCUUUCUAUCUCAACUCCUGGCUGUGAUCGCACGGUCUCGUUCCGGCGACGUAGCGCUCAAGUGUGGGCCUUAUGAACUGUCGAUGGUAGGUUACUCGAUUGUCAUGGUUGUAACGGAUGACGGGGAAUCAGGGUUCGAUUCCGGAGAGGGAGCCUGGGAAAUGCUUACCACAUCUAAAGAAGGCAGCAGGCACGCAAAUUUCCCACUACCGUAUGGACGUAGUGACGAAAUGGGUUUUCUACUACGUAGAAUUGGGACAUAGUGACAAAAAUAGCAAUACGGGACGCUUUUGAGACCCGUAUUGAGAACGUUACUUCAAACUGGAAUGAGUACAUUCUAAAUCCUUUAACGAAUAUCAAUUGUAGGGCAAGUCUGGUGGCAGCAGCCAAGGUAAUUCCAGCUCCAAUAAC
rnacentral:ncRNA from 1 species